rnacentral:rRNA from 1 species
UACGUAGGGUGCGAGCGUUGUCCAGAAUUACUGGGCGUAAAGAGCUCGUAGGUGGUUUGUCGCGUUGUCCGUGAAAACUCACAACUCAAUUGUGGGCGUGCGGGCGAUACGGGCAGACUGGAGUACUGCAGGGGAGACUGGAAUUCCUGGUGUAGCGGUGGAAUGCGCAGAUAUCGGGAGGACACCGGUGGCGAAGGCGGCGACCUGGGUAGAUACUGACGCUGAGGUGCGAAAGCGUGGGGAGCAAACAGG